GACGGGGGGGGCAAGUGUUCUUCGGAAUGACUGGGCGUAAAGAGCUCGUAGGCGGCCUGUCGCGUCGGAUGUGAAAGCCCGGGGCUUAACCCCGGGUCUGCAUUCGAUACGGGCAGGCUAGAGUGUGGUAGGGGAGAUCGGAAUUCCUGGUGUAGCGGUGAAAUGCGCAGAUAUCAGGAGGAACACCGGUGGCGAAGGCGGAUCUCUGGGCCAUUACUGACGCUGAGGAGCGAAAGCGUGGGGAGCGAACAGG
rnacentral:rRNA from 1 species